ensembl:lncRNA
GGAGAAGACAGAGGUGUGAGGUGAGAGAGAAGAGAGGUGAGAGAGGAGAGGAGAGGUGAGAGAGGAGAGAAGAGAGGUGAGAGAGGAGAAGACAGAGGUGUGAGGUGAGGAGAGAAGAGAGGUGAGAGAGGAGAGGACAGAGGUGUGAAGUGAGGAGAGAAGAGAGAGAGAAGUGUAAGGAGAGGAGAGGACAGAGAGGUGUGAGGAGAGGAGAGAGGAGAGGACAGAGGUGUGAGGUGAGGAGAGAAGAGAGAGGUGUAAGGAGAGGAGAGAAGAGAGAGGUGUGAGGAGAGGAGAGAAGAGAGAGGUAGGAGAGGAGAGAAAAGAGAGAAGAGAGGAGAGGAGAGGACAGAGGUGUGAGGUGAGGAGAGAAGAGAGAGAGAAGUGUAAGGAGAGGAGAGGACAGAGAGGUGUAAGGAGAGGAGAGGAAAGAGAGGUGUGAGGAGAGGAGAGAGGAGGACAGAGGUGUGAGGUGAGGUGAGAGAGGAGAGAAGAGAGGAGAGAGGAGAGGACAGAGGUGUGAGGUGAGGAGAGAAGAGAGAGGUGUAAGGAGAGGAGAGGUGUGAGGUGAGGAGAGAGAGGAGAGAGAGGUGUAAGGAGAGGACAGAGGUGUGAGGUGAGGAGAGAAGAGAGAGGUGUAAGGAGAGGAGAGAAAAGAGAGGUGUGAGGAGAGGAGAGAGGAGAGGACAGAGGUGUGAGGUGAGGUGAGAGAGGAGAGAAGAGAGGAGAGAGGAGAGGACAGAGGUGUGAGGUGAGGAGAGAAGAGAGAAGUGUAAGGAGAGGAGAGAAGAGAGAGGUGUAAGGAGAGGAGAGAAAAGAGAGGUGUGAGGAGAGGGAGAGAGAGAGGACAGAGGUGUGAGGUGAGGUGAGAGAGGAGAGAAGAGAGGAGAGAGGAGAGGACAGAGGUGUGAGGUGAGGUGAGAGAGGAGAGAAGAGAGGAGAGAGGAGAGGACAGAGGUGUGAGGUGAGGAGAGAAGAGAGAAGUGUAAGGAGAGGAGAGGUGUGAGGUGUAAGGAGAGGAGAGAAAAG